UGAGUAACACGUGGGUGACCUGCCCUCCACUCUGGGAUAAGCCCGGGAAACUGGGUCUAAUACCGGAUAGGACCACUGAUCGCAUGGUUGGUGGUGGAAAGUUUUUUCGGUGGGGGAUGGGCCCGCGGCCUAUCAGCUUGUUGGUGGGGUGAUGGCCUACCAAGGCGGUGACGGGUAGCCGGCCUGAAAGGGCGACCGGCCACACUGGGACUGAAACACGGCCCAAACUCCUACGGGAGGCAGCAGUGGGGAAUAUUGCGCAAUGGGCGGAAGCCUGACGCAGCGACCCCGCGUGGGGGAUGACGGCCUUCGGGUUGUAAACCUCUUUCGCCAGGGACGAAAAACAAUUGACGGUACCUGGAGAAGAAGCACCGGCCAACUACGUGCCAGCAGCCGCGGUAACACGUAAGGUGCGAGCGUUGUCCGGAAUUAUUGGGCGUAAAGAGCUCGUAAGCGGUGUGUCGCGUCCGCCGUGAAAACUUGGGGCUUAACUCUGAACGUGCGGUCGAUACGGGCAUCACUUGAGUUCGG
rnacentral:rRNA from 1 species